AAUGACAAGUGGCACAUAUGUAAA
rnacentral:miRNA from 1 species